UGGCGACCGGCGCACGGGUGCGUAACGCGUAUGCAACCUACCUGUAACAGGGGGAUAACACUGAGAAAUCGGUACUAAUACCGCAUAACACUAUGAGAGGCAUCUCUUGUGGUUGAAAGUUUCGGCGGUUACAGAUGGGCAUGCGUUGUAUUAGCUGGUUGGUAAGGUAACGGCUUACCAAGGCGACGAUACAUAGGGGGACUGAGAGGUUAACCCCCCACAUUGGUACUGAGACACGGUCCAAACUCCUACGGGAGGCAGCAG
rnacentral:rRNA from 1 species